AAGUGUAUUUUCGUACCGUGUGGCGCAAGGGCGUUAUAUGUGAUUAAAAUCAAAGUUUACAAGUACAUUUAAAAGUUUAAAAUCCAGGUUACUGAUGGAUUGGAUCUGACACUUGAAGCUGUCUAAGGAUGUUGCAUUGACAGCCUCAGAUGGUAAAGAGUUCUAAAUCCUAAUCCCAUCUGGAAAAAACGAUUUCUGGUAAACUGUAGUCUUGGCAUAUGGCACAAGGAAGGUGAUGUCGUUCCCUCUCGGAGAAAUGAUAUUAUACUGUCAAGAACAAACGAGCGAGAGAAGUCCUAACUCAUACAUAUGUAUGUUCUUUUGCGCAUGAAACAGUCAACCAGGAAGGGUUUUGAAAUCAGCUGCUGUACAGUACUUUGUGAAAGGCACAUGGUAACACAGCUGCUACAGACAGAUGAAUUGGCUGGCCGUACUUUAGAACUGCUUGAUAAGAAGAAGAAAUAUCAUUCACGAUGGCAGUACAUUCUUGACGACGUGCGAAGCUUCGAUGACGGUCUGCGCUACCGGGCGGCGAAUGCGCGGAUCUGUUACUGGGACAUUUAAUCUGAAAUUAAAAUACAGAAAAAAUAUAGACAGAUGUGGGAAACAUUUUGUCUGUGAAAAUCUAGGUUUCUCCAAUGUUUGUUUGAGUGCAGAAUGAAAUACAUGUAUUUUAUGUAAACUUUGAUAGACAGACAUAAGUAUAAAUGUACAUGCUAAUUCAUGACCAAUGCCGAAAUAUGAAUAUUGCAGCAUUAUUAAAGCACAAUAAUCAUA